rnacentral:rRNA from 1 species
CAGCCGCCACGGUAAUACGAGGGGGGCAAGCGUUGUUCGGAAUUAUUGGGCGUAAAGGGUGCGUAGGCGGUUUGGCAAGUUUGGUGUGAAAUCUUUGGGCUCAACUCGAAGUCUGCAUCGAAAACUGCCGGGCUUGAGUAUGGGAGAGGUGAGUGGAAUUUCCGGUGUAGCGGUGAAAUGCGUAGAUAUCGGAAGGAACACCUGUGGCGAAAGCGGCUCACUGGACCAUAACUGACGCUGAUGCACGAAAGCUAGGGGAGCAAACAGGAUUAGAUACCCCCGUAGUCCCUGUCUCUUAUAC